GCUGGGUGAGGUGGUGCACACCUGUCACCCUAGUGACUCAGGAGGCUGAGGCAGGAGGAUUGCAAGUUCAAGGCCAACCUGGACAAUUUAGUGAAACCCUGUCUCAA
rnacentral:sRNA from 1 species